UACGAGAACUUGCCACUGAAGGAUAUUUUGAUAAUUUUUUAUCAAAAUUUUAAAUCUUUUGGAUAGUUAUGACACAUUGCUAGACAUCAAUCUUAACUUGUGGUUUCAUCAAAAUUAAAAGAGUUUAAUUUUGAAGUCAAUUUGGAAGAGUCCAAGUUGAUUGGGACUCUUCGGGUGGACCUAAUCUCAUUGGAUUAGGGCUUCAUCGAAAGUCUUGAUCCACUGCUGGCU
rnacentral:lncRNA from 1 species